AAGACUCUACUUUCAGGGAUCAUUUCUUUAGUCUGGAACUACAGAAUUGUGUUUCUACAGAGGUUGGUCUGGCUGUCCAUGAUGAUGAAUGAAGAUGUUUCCUUCAGAGCAGGAAGCUGGUGAGAAGAUGAGAAUCUUCUUCACUGAUGAAGACUGUUCAGUGUUUCUGGAUGUGACACUGAAGGAGGAAACAUUGUCUGAGUGGA